rnacentral:lncRNA from 1 species
UCAAAAAUUGGCACUUGGCAGCACUGCUUUCUGGUUGUCACGAAAGUUCGUCUGCAGUGCAAAUGUUUACGUUUAAUCUUCACUCUUCAGAGUUCGUUCCAUGGUUCGUUCAGUCGUUCAGUGUCUCAGUGUCUCACGUCUCAGCCUUAUUAGCCAUAUAUGCUCACGAUUCAUAGCCCCACAAAUAUCUAAGUAAACUGUUGGACAGUAUAUCUAGCCUGAAAUAGCAAGAGUUCUAAUCUCCAGUCUACAUUGGACUCAACAUGUUACAUGCUUCAUCGUUCAACAAAAUAUUGAUGCUGAAGGGAAAAUGCUAACAAGUGAGAAAAAAAAAACAUCUAUCCAAAAGUGAAGAAUAGUAGAAGAAGGCAGCCCAGUUUUCGACUGCAUGUUCCAGGUUCGUCAGAGAGGAGAUUGAUCAAUUUCACUCAACUGUCGACUCGAAUAUUGGAUGUUUUUAAAAAAGAAAAUCUUCUGUAGACACAAGACACCAGAUCUUCAAAUCAGAAAUUCAAAUUAAGAAAUUCAAAUCUCAAAAAAGAUCUUCAACAGAUCUAGAAACACAAAGGUGAUGGAAUUCAUCUUUGUGGCCAAUAGAGCUCUACCGCUUGACAGCAUCUAGCCCGAUGUCGUUAAAGAUUUCCAUCACGGCCCCAUGGAUAACUCGCUUUCUUGGAUCUACUCAUUGGCCUCACCUCUGUUUCUGGCCUAAUGUCUCGUUUUUCUGCACAAACGGUCUCAACUCGUUGACUCAACCCACACACCGGACACUCAACUCGUUGAGUGAAUUAUCGCUUUGUAAGUUCGAACCCUCUAUAUGCGUGUCCCGCUGAGAAGAAAUGGCGACCAAAGCCGGCAACACGGGCAAUGGUAGCUUGGGAUGGGACAGUUGUUUUUUUCUGAACAUGUUUCCUACAGAAAAUGCAUUGACACACAAGUCAAGCAAGACAAGAGGAAGCUAUGUGAACAUAAUCAAGGCCAUGGGUAAUCUUCAGGUUUAUUCACCAACUUUGGGGAAGUCACAUGAAAAGAUGCAGGGCACUACCAGCAUGUGUAUUUUUCUGAAUUUUUUACUCAAGCAGUUGGUGCUGUUGCCUUACAGCCACAGGCAGGAAAAUUAUGCUUUGGUUCAGA